rnacentral:rRNA from 1 species
GACGAACGCUGGCGGCGUGCUUAACACAUGCAAGUCGAACGGAAAGGCCCUGUUUUCGUGGGGUGCUCGAGUGGCGAACGGGUGAGUAAUACGCGAGUAACCUGCCCUUGUCUUUGGGAUAACUUCAGGUAACUGGGGUUAAUACCGGAUAGGAGCUCCUGCUGCAUGGUGGGGGUUGGAAAGUUUCGGCGGUUGGGGAUGGACUCGCGGCUUAUCAGCUUGUUGGUGGGGUAGUGGCUUACCAAGGCUUUGACGGGUAGCCGGCCUGAGAGGGUGACCGGCCACAUUGGGACUGAGAUACGGCCCAGACUCCUACGGGAGGCAGCAGUGGGGAAUAUUGCACAAUGGGCGGAAGCCUGAUGCAGCGACGCCGCGUGCGGGAUGACGGCCUUCGGGUUGUAAACCUCUUUCGCCUGUGACGAAGCGUGAGUGACGGUAAUGGGUGAAGAAGCACCGGCUAACUACGUG